CAGCCUUUUCACUAUGUGCAGAACCCUAUGCAGGCGUAAAAUAACUCAGUGAAUGCAUCUCAGCAUCUUUAGAUGAGGUUUGACUAGAACAAGAAGAUAUCAUAUAUGACUACUCUAACCAAGCUCAAAUGAGAAGCAGAGACAUGUUCCGAUUCCUGCAGUAAUCAAGAAAGUUUAUUUCCUAGAGGGGGAUGCUCUUUAUUGAGCUUUGUUCCAGUCUAGUAGCCUAUGGCAAUAAGCUGGAGAGUGAGACUGAGGCUGAUGAAAUGCAGAGGACAGAAUGAAAAUGCAUGAAAAAUUCUGAUGACGAAUAUACGGGGAAGUCAAUUUAAAUUCUUAUCCAAGAUUCCUUUGUAGGUUGGACCCUUGCUUGAGGCUCUUGGAGAAGACUCCUCCCCCAAAAUUGGGACUUGGCAAACCAGGGUUCACACCAACUUCUUAUAGACUAUUGCAAAAUUCUGUUUUGGGUGUGUUGGGCAUGUGUUUUGUAUUACUAAGACACAUUGAACGCAUACGGAGAAUCUCCAGCAGAACAUAUUAAGAUACGCUUAGCCAUGGUAACAGAUGUAUAAUAAAUCACAGUUUCUCCAGAUUUCACAAAGAAAUUAUGGGACUGCAAACCUCCAGGCUCCCCCCUCGACUGUGAAAAUGCUUCCAAUCACAUAAUGCAUAUUGAAAAUGGUACUGGAUAAAUGUGUUCAUGAGAGCAAAGAAGUAGUUGAAUUUGCAUGAAGGAGAGAAAUCAGCUAUUUCUGCAGAUUCUCACAUUUGUAGAUGCGACAUAAAUGACAAGUGGCAGAAAGCCGCAACUGACUCUUUCAAUACAAUAUCCCAUUAUUUUAUUGAAACUUGUUGUUCAGCCCAAGUUCUGCUCCUACAGAGGUAUUUGGGAGCUUAAUCGUGGAUUCUUGGAUCUUCCCUAGUAGUGAUGGACAUCUCGAGUUCCCCACUGACAGAUACCUUUCAUCAGAACCAUUGUAUAGAGGAUUUGCAAGAAAUGAAUAUCCUGAGAGUGGAAGUUCAUUGUGUUCUUGCAGAGAAAUGGAAAGUCAUUUGACAUAACAGUGAGAGAGAGAACUGUGUUCUCCUGUCAUUCGAACCUCCUGUUUGAAUUCUUGAGAGGAACACAACAAGGACAAUUAAGGAUAAGAAGUCAUCACGUGUAUGAAAAAAUUGUCAGCUUGCAGAUAUAUCUUUUACUCUUGCUUCAAGAAAUUCUGACAGUGAAUUUGGUGGGCGUUUUACCCAACUGUUGCAACAUUGGACACUCUAAAGGAGAAAGAACAGGCUGCUUGUCAUCCACAGUCUGAUCAAAUGUCCUUGGAUGUGGGUCAGGUGCAAAUCUUAUGAGAAGGC